rnacentral:lncRNA from 1 species
UGCUUGAGUGAGAGGGGCUGAGACAACUGGAGAAGGAGCUCUCAUUGCCCUCUGCCCAUCAUCCAGCCAAGCCCUCAGUUUUCCAGUACUCUGCUGGAGAGAUGAGGCAUUCAUACCAGCUGCCCUUAGUGGGGCUCCUACUGUUUUCUCUUAUUCCAAGCCAACUAUGCAAGAUCUGUGGUAAGUACAAUUUCAGCUAAAAUUAUUCCAGUGUGAUAGUCUUCUGAAAGCUAUUAUCAGGGCACUCUAUGUAGAGGUAACUAAGAAAAGACCCUAUAUCAGGUCUAUGUGCGUUUUGACUCCAUGCGGAAUGGAAAGGGUAAUUAAAAAAUGAUGAGAAAAAUUCCACAAGAGGGAUCAUAGAUUCUGUAUUAAACUGCCUGUUCUUCCUAAGCUCCAAUCCUCUCUACCACAAUACCCCUACCAAGUAACUCUCUACUUUGUUCAUUUCCAGUGAUGGAAAAUUCAUGAUCUCAGAAACUUUUCAGGAUCAUAGAAAGUGAUCUUCUGAUUUUGAAGUGCAAUCUAUUUCUGCAGUUCAACCCAUGGCUUUGGUUUAACCCUUUGUAACUCACAGGAAAAAAAUAAUGAUGAUAAGCUCUUUCAAACAAUGAGUCUUCUCUCUUGUCAUUGUUUAUGUUUAGAUAUUUUAAGCUGCGUAUCUUCCAUCCUUCCAUUCUUUCUAUAGGACAUAGGUUAGAACCUCGUCAUCUCUGAGUAUUAGCUCCGGAGACUGCAAAGUUCUAUUAAAAAAAAGUAAAGUGGGAGAAAGGAAAUCCAGGCAUGGGUCUAGUUUGACCCCUUAAGUGGAGGAUAAUGAAGGACAAUUGUUGAAACACUUGAUCUCUUGAAGUCUGGAGUAGACCUCAGGUGUAUGAUUUCUCUUUUGUGAAUCUGUAUUCUAGAAUUUAGCUUUAAACAAAUCCAAGGAUGACUAGAUUGUGCCAUCUGCAGCUACGUACUCCUUGUACUCUAGCCAGCAAGAGGAGAUCAACACCAUAGGAGACAGACUUGUAUUCAAGCCAAGGCUAAAACACAGAAUCUUCCAACUCACAUUUUUCUUCCUGUACUGUCAGUUUCCCUACCGGAUCCAGAGAAUAGGAGACUUCCAGGGAGGCUUUGAAGUUCAAUUCAUUGCAAAGAAUAAUUAAAUUUGUCUUUAGUGAUCAAGGAAGUUGAUUAGAGUUGUUGAACAGGAACUAAAAAGUCUGCUUUAAUGCCAGAAAAUCUGCUGAACUGGAUGCUUCCACAAACCUCAGAAAUAUGAUUCACAAUUGUCCUGUUAUGCCUGCAACAAACUGUGACCUUCCUACAAUCACUCCAUUCAGAUCUUCUUGAGUGUUUAUUACAGUGAACAAAAUGUGCAAGAGAAAUCACAUCUCCUGUCUCUAAGUAUGACAAUAGGAACUCCAGUUGCACUGUAAAUAGGAACAUAUGGAGCAUUUUACCAUGUGUUAAUAUCCACAAUUUUUAAAUGAAGAAACCAAGGGUCAGGAAAGUUACAUAACUUACCCAUGGUCAUAAAUUAAGGAGCAAAGAGACCAUCAAAAGGUGCUGAACACAGGACUAGUUUUCUUCUCACUGUCUUACCAACCCAUGAGACUAUAUGGAGAUGGGAAGAAUCUGGGGAUAUUUCUCAAUAUUGUAAACAAAAUGUCUUAUGUUUUAGGUGGCAAUUAACUCUACUUAUUUUCCUCCAGAUCUUUGGGGCCUCUGGAUUCUCUUUUACCUCCGCAAUAAAAUGAACUUCCUUUCAUGUUCUCCACUGUAAUUUGGGGAUAUAAUAUAUAGGCUAAAACUAGAGGACAUUCCAAAGGGAGUGUGCUGCUAAGUAAUGAUCUUGAUGCCUGGCCAGUUGGGCAAUCAGAUAAUGCAACUUGGGGGUCAAUCAUCAAUGUAAUAGAAUUUUUGCCUUAGAAUGAAUGUUCUCAGGAUUAACCCAAUAAAGUUAGAAGAAAGAGAAGAAACUAGAUAGAAAAAAUAGAAAGAGCAAUAGAUAGGAGUCAGAAGACAUGUAUUCUAGUUUCAGUUAACCUUCCAAUUAUGAAAAUUUCUUUAAGGACAUUUCUCCAGGGAAUGAUACUAGAUAUCCCAGGCAGGACUGAUAUGCCAGUACCGGAUUCACAAGCUGUUAAAAUACUGAAAUACUACAAUGCUACUUGUCACAGAAGUAAUGAAGUGGAGGAGGGCUCCAGACCCACCUCUGUAUUAUUUCACCAACAUCUAGUAACUACUGGGUUGACUUUGGUCUGGGCCAUAACUAUUAGUAAAUAUUUUAAUAUAACCCUUGUUUCUAGUCUUAAUGUUUUAUGAGCAUUAAUACUGUUACAUAAGUUUGCUAAGUUCAGAACCAAAGAGGGUUGUGGACCACAGCUGAGAAAGUUGAUGUUAGAGAAUCAACCACGGAGCAAUAGAAAUUUGGAUUGGGUUCAAGUCCCCAUCAAGGCUUGGUCCAGUUAUGUCAAUACGGAACCUCCAUUUUUAGUUAAUGUAAGGGGGAAAUGAAGCCACCCUGAUCUACCUCAUAAUAGUAUUGCCACAUUAUUUCUUCCUUUCUGUACUACAGAGGUCAAUAAAGAAAACUACUCUUAUCUGAACCAUCUGUUGAAUACAAUGAUAAAUUCAGAAUACACAAGCAAAACCCAAUCUGCAAAUGUCCUGUUGUCCCUCAGCCUUGUUGGAAUUCAGGACAAAACCCUAAAACAACAAGUUGAAAGAACUAUGGAAGGGAAAGGUGAGUGUUAUAUUCUAUGAAAUAUUUAAGAAACGAUCUACCUAUCUAAAGAGAUUAUCUCCAACAAAUUCUAAAAAUUACGUGUCCAAAGUACCUCUGAUGCAUCAGUCCCAGCUGUAUAAAACCUGAAGUGACAGUGCCUAGCAGCAUCAAAUCCACUCACUCUAGAGCUAGGUCAUGCUUCUUUGGAUCCUUCAGAACCACAAAGGAAAGCAAAAUAUAUAGACUCUUAAUAUGGUGUUGUAAACUAGAUGAGUUUACACAUAAGGAUAUGAACCACAAACAAAAAAGCUCACAGUAGAGCAGCAUCUGUGGAACAAUAAAAAUUUGAAGUGGGUUCAAGUCCAGGAUUAUCCUUGAGCUAGUCACAUUAAUACUGAGCCUCAGGUUUUGAGUUGAUAUAAGGGGGAAAUGAAGCUACUCUUUCCUCUUCAUAUUAUUAUAAUAGAAGUCUGAAAGUUUUGCUACUCUAUUAAGACAGAACAUAAAAAUAAAUUAUUACUGUCCUAGAAAGAUGGCAAUAUGAAGAUAGAAAAUCCAAAGGUUUUAGUAUUUAUCUACUUUUCUUAUCUUUUUUUCAUCUUUUGUAAAUAUUGCAUGAUUUCAAAAAGAUCCCAUUAUUUCAUGAAAAAGACUAAGACCUAGCUUGCACUGAUACAGCAGAGCCUUAGAAGGCUCUGCUUUGGGGAUUAAAAAAAAGAGAACAAUAAAAAUUUUAGUGUACAGUAGAAUGGAGAAAAAGAAGUUAUAAGCAAUAUAAAGCCACAAGGAAGACAGGAAGCAAAAAAAAAUCACAAGCAUGUGUCUCGUUAAACUUGAACACUUUUCUUUUCAGAUCUAAAUUUAAGCUCGGGACAGCUUGCUGUGAUUAUACUGGCUUUGGAAGCAUGUCAUACCACUGGUGAAAACUUUACAUAUAAUGAAUAUCUGCUCAGUCAUCUAGAAAAGAAAUUCCAAGACGAAAUUGAAAAUAUGAGUAAGAAUCAAAUGUUCAGAAACCCUCAACAACUUUGACUUCUCCUCUACUGAUUCAGAACUGAAUAAUGUCCCUCCAUUGUGUCCUCCUUCCUCUUCAUCCCAUUCAUCCUGUGGCAUCCCUGCAGGUCACUUCCCCCUCUUCCCUCUUUCACUGUGCAACCUGCAUUUUUUUCUUUCCAAAUUGUGUUCAACUGAGCACUGCCAUACCUAUGUCAAGGUCUCCUUCACACACACACACACACACACACACACACACACAUACACAAUUCUUUAGUCCUCCAGGAGCUUGGCUUUUAGACAAAUAAUGAGUAACACCAGAAACAGCUGAACAACACAGGACACUGAGUUGUAAGUAACAAAGCAUCCAAAAUUAAUAUAAGAGCUAAAAGUGACCAGAGUACUUUAUCACUGGGAAAAAAAGGGUUGACAGUCACGGCUACUAGUGAAAUGCAUUAUUUUUUUUAAACUCCCACCUAAUAUAUAUCCUAUUAUUUACUAACUUCCUCCAAUCCCACCUUCUUUGAAGUGCCUCCAACCCAAGCCUCUCAGUUUACUGUUACAAGUGCAAGAGGCUUGGAGGUAGGAAAUCUAUGUUCUAGUCGUAACUCUGUAACCAGCUGAAUAUCUGGAUAGUCCUUUAAUCUCUUCACUGUUGGCUCUCCUCAGAUUUAAAAUGAAAGGAGUUAAGUCAGAUUUGGUGGCCUUUAAAAGUCUUUACAUUUCUUGGAUUUGCUCAUCCUAUGGGUGAUCUCUACCUUCUCUUACUUACCUCUUUAAAUAUACAGAAUGACAAUAAAGAAAGUAGGAGUGUGUUGAAAGGAGUAUAUUUACCCAGUACCAUGAGUAAAUAUUUAUCCUUUUCUUUCUGCCAGAAGCACACGAUGGCAAUCCACUGACCAACUUCUACCAGAUCAGCCUGGAUGUUUUGACUUUGUGUCUCUUCAAGGGGAACUACUCAACCACCGAAGUUGCUGAAUUAUUCAAUUAUACAAAAAACUAUUAUUUGGGUGGUCAGUUCUCAGUAGGUGAGUGUCACUUAACCCAAUUCCCUUGGCUCCAAGGAUACAAUCACCAGUAGUUCUUGCCCUUUGGGGUUUUGUACCAACAUUAAUCAUAUUUUUUUCCUAUCUUCUUUACCCUCAGAAGAGAAUAUUCUUUGGGGAAAAUCAUGGAUAAUGGUUGGCAGUUAAGCCUCUUUCCAGAUGUGUGGUACCAUAAAAAGACCUGGCUCCUAGUGUGGCUUAAUAUUACAAUCUGUAAAAUAAGGAUGGAACAUGAGAAUAUACAUACAAAAUAUUUUAGAAAGCAUAGAGUUUAAGAAAUAAAAUUCAAGGCAAGUCAUUUAAUUUAACACUUCCUCUUUCUCUAAUUUACUGAGACAAUGUGGACAUGUUGGUUGACUUGAACAACACAACCUCUCCUAGGGAAAAGUCCAAUAUUUUGAUCAAGUAAAGGAGAAGAACCAAUUUCCCACUGUGUCAGUUUAAUCAUCCAAAAGAAGUCUCCUCUAGAUAACUAGUAUUGGUGCUCAGCUCCUAUGGAUCCAGAUACAUGGGCUCAUCUUCAUCUAAAAGUUCAAAGCAAAACACCAGUCAGUAUUUCUGGACAGAAUGUGAGACUUCCCAUAUUCCUUUUCUUGUAAGAGAGAGAAGGUGUCAUACCAAGGAGCAAUCAAGCAUCAAAGAAAGAGUCCUUAUCCUUCCUUAUUCCCGUCUUUUGCCUCAUCCUGUCCCUUGAGGGGAUUUACUGGGGAACAAUUCUGUUAACUGCCAUUUUUAUUCAGUGUAAUGGACUGAUUAGGAACACACAAAGAUAUUUCUUUUGUUUUAUUAUCCUGGAUUUUCUCAAUUCCCUUACCAAUGUGGUUGAAAAGUUGAAGAAAGAUUUAAAAAGAUGAGAGCAAUCAAGAUCUAAAAGUGAAAGCUAGAAAGGAAAAAGCAGGCAGAGGAUUUCAUAAAAAUGAAAGGGAGAUCAGUAGAGUAGAGAUAAGGAUGGGAAGGGGAAGAACGGAGGAAAUGGGGAGGUUCUGGGCAAUAAAAUCCUGCAUUCCUGGAAAUCCCUCCGUCCAAGACAAACUGGAAUGGUUGGUCAACCUAUCACCAACGUUUUGUUCCCUGACAGACAUUGGUGCAAUGGCUGAAAAUAGACGGGAGAUCAGUAGAGUAUAGAGAUUAGGCAGAGGGAAGAGUGGAGGGAUAAGGGAGGUACUGGGCAAUGAAAUUGAUCAAAUUAUGUUAUGUGCAUGUAUGAAUAUAUCACAACAAAUCCCAAGAUUUUGUAUAGUUAUGAUGCACCAGUAAAAUAAAACAAAAAUGGAAAACUGUUCAUGAAUAUGGACUUACAAAUCCAUAUAUGGUUUUAUGGCUAUAACAUAAUAUGUUAUAUAUGUGCACAUGACAACUCAACAUAGGGAAGAAAUCUUGAAAUAAAUUUGAGUGCAUAGUCCUAGAAAGAUGAUCAGCCAUAUCUUAAAAUCCUUCUCUGCUGUCAUCAAUCCGAAUGACCAAACAUUCUGGUUUUUCCAAAUUUGUCCAUUUAACUGACUCUAAGCCCUAUCUCCCCAGAAAUCCCUUAGUCUAAGACAAAGAAUGGUUGGUCAACCCAUUACCAAUGUUUUGUUCCCUGACAGAUACUGGUGCAAUGGCUGUCCUGGCUCUGACAUGUGUGAACAGGAGUCUAACAAAUGAGCAGAUCAAAGCAGAAAAGAAUUUAACAAAAAUUGAUAAGUGUAUAAGGUUCCUGGUAAAAAAAAUUCUGUCUGAGAAAAAAGAAAAUGGUCUCAUUGGAAACACAUUUAGUACAGGAAUAGCUAUGCAGGUAAGUCAGAGGGUAAAAAUAGGAGACAGAAAAGGGAGUCACAGAGAACAAUACCUUGAUCCCUUAUUGUUGACCCCUAAGAUGAUGAUGAUGAUAUUAUUAUUACUAUUAUUAUUAUUUCUUUUUUAUUACUUUUUUAUUUAUAUGACAGUGGGAUGCAUUACAAUUCUUAUUACACAUAUAGAGCACAAAUUUUCAUAUCUCUGGUUAUAUACAAAGUAUAUUCACACCAAUUUGUGUCUUCAAACAUGUACUUUGGAUAAUAAUAUCCAUCAUAUUCCACCAUCAUUGUUAACCCCAUACCUCCUCCCUUGCCCUCCCACCCCUCUGCCCUACCAGAGUCCAUUUAUUCCUCCCACACUCCCCCUCCCUACCUGACUAUGAAUCAGCCUCCUUAUAUCAGAGAAAACAUUUGGCAUUUGGUUUUUUGAGAUUGGUUAACUUCACUUAGCAUUAUCUUCUCUAACUCCAUCCAUUUACCUACAAAUACCAUGAUUUUAUUCUCUUUAACUGCUGAGUAAUAUUCCAUUGUGUAUAUAUGCCACAUUUUUUUAUCCAUUCAUCUAUUGAAGGGCAUCUAGGUUGGUUCCACAAUUUAGCUAUUGUGAAUUAAGCUGCUAUAAACAUUGAUGCGGCUGUGUCCCUGUAGUAUGCUGUUUUUAAGUCCUUUGGGUAUAGACUGAGGAGAGGAACAGCUGGGUCAAAUGGUGGUUCCAUUCCCAAUUUUCCAAGAAAUCUCCAUACUGCUUUCCAUAUUGGCUGCACCAAAUUGCAGCCCCAACAGCAGUGUAUGAGUGUAUCUUUUUCCCCACAUCCUUGCCAACACUUACUGUUGUUUGUAUGCAAAAUAGCUGCCAUUCUGACUGGAGUGAGAUGAAAUCUUAAGAGUAGUUUUGAUUUGCAUUUCUCUAAUUGCUAGUGAUGAUAAACAUUUUUUCAUAUAUUUUUUGAUUGAUCGUAUAUCCUCUUCUGAGAAAUGUCUGUUCAGGUCCUUGGCCCAUUUAUUGAUUGGAUUAUUUAUUUUUUUGGUGUUAAGUUUUUUGAGUUUCUUUAUAUAAUCUAGAGAUUAGUGCUGUAUCUGAUGUGUGUGUAUAGUACUAGUAGGAGGAGGAGGAGGAGGAGGAAGAGGAGUAUGUUUCCUACACUAUUUUUCUUACAUGAUUUCCCAACACCAUCUGAAAUAUAUUCUUUUCACCUUCAAUCUUUACCUUUUCAUAUCCAAUGCUUUUAUGAAGCUUUUCCUAACUACAAUUUCUUUAUGAAAUUAGAAAUUUUGCUACAACCUAUCUUGUUAUAUCACAUGUAAUUUCACACUUUACCACAUACUGUUGUUUUGUGUGUUCAUCUUUCUUCCAAAUUAUGUUACUGCUGCAUUAGUAGUGAUAGUAGUAGUAAAUAGUGUCAGUAUUUGUUGUGUCCUAUUAAAUAAAUUAAUGCACAUAACAUCAUGAGGAAAGGAUUAUCCUAAACAGGAGCAUGAGUCAGAGUGUCAGUAAACUUGCCAAAUUUUAUAAAGCCAGAAAGUGUUAUGGAUGGGGAUGGACCUCAACAGUUGUUCUCAAAACUCACUCAGUACCUAUACUGUCAUGCACACAUUCCUCAAGGUCUGGCACUUUUUCUACAUUCUUUCAUUGACUUACUGAACUCUAAGUGGUAGAUACAAGAAUAGAAAAAAAAAAGGUUUGAAGGGGAAAAACGCAGAGUCAUUAGGAUGAAUAGUUAUUUGCCAGGCUGACGUCGGGUGAGAGGACUUUCAGAAGCAUCCCUUGGGGACUGGUCAAAAUGCAAACACUCUCAUCAUUUCAAGGCCAUGUGCUCCCCAUUCCUACCUUAGGCCUUUGCUCAUGCUGCUCCCUCAGCUCGGAGUCCCCUCCUCUUUCCUCCUUCCAACAUGCCUCAUCUGCCAAGCUGCCAAGGCUCACCUCCAAUACCACCUCCUCCAAUGAAGUUUUCCUCAGACUCACUACAUAUAUGUGAAACCCUCUCCAUUUUUGAAAGACAAUGUCACUAGGCACUUCUCUUAGGGCAUUCAUUUAGGGCACCUUUUACAAUAGUUUGUUGAUUAUGUUUAUUGAGUGCAUCUUUAUGAUAGGUAUUAUUCUAGAGCUAAAAUACAGGAGUAAAUAUGGCAGAGAAAGUCUAUUUUCAAUGGAAUCAUUGUACCUUGCAUUACACAAUUCCCCUGCACUCAAACUAGUCUAUAACCUUCCAUAUAGUGGGAAAGAUAACUUAAAGGUGCUUCCUAUGUUGUCAAUGUUCAGUAAAUUCUUACUGAAUUAGUUAGGUGCCACCUUCCACCCUAUUUGAAGUGUCUCUGACUCUCUUUCUUUCUCACUAGGCCCUCUUUGUGUCAUCAAAGUAUUAUGAAGAAAGUGAAUGGAAUUGCCAACAAACUCUGAAUACAAUAUUCAAGGAAAUUUCUCGGGGAAUGUUCAAUAAUCCAACUGCUGCGGCCCAGAUCUUACCUCCCCUAAUGGGAAAGACCUACUUGAAUGUUACAAACUCUCCUUGUGUCUCUGAUUUAGGUAUAAGCACGGAAGGAAGGGUAAACUCUUUUGCCUUUCAGCCUAACACCCAAAGGAUGUGAGAGGCAGGAGUCUUUAGGGGCUGAAAGUGAGAGGAUAAGCCUCUAAGCCAUAGAAGUUUCUAGACAGAAUUCAGUUCUCAUUACAUCAUCAGGAAUUACAACCACCUGAGGACUUGUUCUCAGGGUGGCAGACCUUAUUCUUGAUUGAAACAUAGAUAAGUGAUGUCUGUCUUCAAAGAGAUGUUUUCUGAUUGUAGAUACAGAAAUUCCCAUCCUAGACAAAGCAUCAUUCCCAUUCUAAACGAAGUAUAGAAGGUGAAUAUUAUAUUUCUGACUUUUCAUUAUUCACACAAUAAUUUCCAUUAUUCCUCUGUGAAAAAAUACAUGGUUGGAAAGAAUAUGGCAGUAUUCUUAGACAAAUGUAGUAUGAAUUAUUUAUUCAAACAGAUUAUUUUGAAAUAAGGUAGAAAGGAGUCAUUUUCUUCUAUCUCCCUUCAUUCCUGGUACAGCCACUUAUGGAUUUAGGGGCAUUGGGCAAAUGUUUAACCUCUAAGCUAAAGUAAUUUCUAAUGUAGAAAAUGGUAACACUACCUCACACAGGUUUUGUGAGAACUGAUUGAGCUAAUUCAUGUAAAAUGAUUAUUGCAAUGGCUGGCACUUAAUAUGUUCUUAGUAAAUAUUAAGAAAUAAAAAGAGGAAAGAUAAGCAUUGCUGGAUUCUGUACCAAAGGGGAAAAAAAUCAGGACUGUCUGGGGAAAACGGGCAUUAAGCCAACUGAAUUGUUUAAACAGCUGGGAGCUGAGCCCAAUGCCAGCAUUCACAGGCUGGGUAGUCUCUGUUUUCAUUUCUGUUUAGUCACAUGAGAGAUCUUCCCCUUGAUGACAUUUGCUCCUUGUAGCAAAUUCAUCUCUGUAUAAAGGAAAGGAAUCCUUAGACAGGGGUAGAAUGGUAUGCAAACUCUGACACCAUAUUUAUUCUUCUGCAUAUCUAUCUCUGCUUUUCUGUCUCUGUCAGAUAAAUUCAACAUUUCCAAUGAUGCACCUGAAUCUAACACACCUUCUAACUCAUCCUCAUCCAUCCUCGUCCAUUAUUCUGUGGUAAUCAAUGAAACAUAUCCUAUCAAUAUCACCGUGCCAAAUGGUUCAGUCUUCCUAGAUGUGAUGAAAGAAGCUCAAAAACAGAAUUCGACGGCAUUUCGGUAUGUCUGACCAUAACCUAAUGCUAAUGUAUUUACUGUAAUUUUGAAAGACUCAUUAAGAAUAUAUCUGCACCUGAAUAUAAAGUGUAUUUAAGACACUUCUGUACUGGUACUUUUGUUAUCCAUGUAUACCUCACAGCAGGGUUUAAAAAUACCUAUUAUAUGCUAGGAAGAUUAUUUCACCUCAAAGCACAUAAUAUGUAUUAAGUUAAUGUUCACUUAAUGAAUGAAUGAAUCCCAGGAUUCUUUCUUUUUUCAGCAAAACUUGAAUAAAUAGAACCUUUUAUAUCAGACAUCUGUGUCUAGAAGAGUGGUUCUUAACUACUUUUGAAUCAAUGACUCCUUUGAAAAUCAGAUGAAUGUAAUGAAAGCUCAUCUCAGAAAAAUUAACACCAAAAAAAUUGACAUUUCAAUUGGUAAUUUCACAAAUGCACUUAAGUCUCUCCAUUUCCCCCUUUCAGGAGAUGUAUGGACCCCUAAAUUAAGGUUCCCUGGCCUAGAGAGGUCAAAUAGCAAAUUUAAGAUAUUUGUGCCCCUGAAAAGUAUGAUUUAUUUGACUCCUUAAAUCUAGUUGAAAGUUAUUUAUUGUGUCUAGAAACAUGUACUGUAGAGAAAAUCUGAAUAAUUGUGUGUGUGUAUACAUAUGUGUAAUAUAUAUAUAUAUAUAUAUAUACAUAUAUAAUAAAUAUAUUUAAAAGACUGAUUUCAAGAGCUUCCAAGCAGAUAAUGAAAUAUGACUAAGGAAUGUGAAAUAGAUAACAACCUUGUCAUUUUGUAAUACACAUCACAUGAAAUAUCAAUCCUUCCUUCCUGAUUGUCUUUUCUAAAAGAAAACCCACUAAUUUGCAGUGCCUUGAGGUUAACAUGAGGUUAACACUUUCUUCUACUUCUCCAGUAUCUUCAACAGGUACUAUUCCAGGGUGGAAGGUUGAAGAAGUUAAUUGCAAAGUGUGUAUAAUGGCAGUGGGGGAAGACAGAGCCAUGGGCAUCACAUUGUCACUUUGACAGAGUGUGAAGUGCCUGCAUCAGAAUCCCUGGACUUUUGAUAAAACCUGCAGCUUCCCGGUCCCCAGCCCAGACCUAAGAAUCAAAUAAUCUGAGUAUAGGGCCAGGAAAUCUGUAUUUUGGGUUACAUCUCCAAGUUAUACUUAAAAACAUUAAAGGGUCUCCUUUGAAAAUUCUAAAUUCUUAUAACUCAUUCACUGUCCCCACAGUUUCACAAUGGAGCAGAGCGCAUGGGGCCCCUACAUUACUUCUGUCCAGGGUCUGUAUGCCAGCAACAAUAAGAGAACCUACUGGGAACUUCUGAGCGGAGGCAAAUCAUUGAGCCAAGGUAAGAAGAGAUGUACCAAGAAGAUCCAUGGAGUAUAAAUGCCCAAAGUUCUCAGAUGGGAGGGCAUAAGCUUUUGUUGGAAAUGGGCCAAAGUGUUGGGCAAGAUGGCAUCCAAUGGAUUCAGUGGUCAAAUCUUUUGACCUCUCUUUCUUCCUCUUUUCAGGAGUUGGUAGCUAUGUUGUUCAUAAUGGAGAAAACUUGGAGAUUCGUUGGAGCAAAUACUGAUAAGCCCAGACUUUCCUCUUAUGAAUGUACCUUUUGGAGUGGAAUUCUAUGAAGAAAUUAGCCCAACACUCCCCCCUCCAAUUCAAUAAAAGAUCAAUGUCUGUACAAGAAGAGCA